rnacentral:rRNA from 1 species
GAUGAACGCUAGCUACAGGCUUAACACAUGCAAGUCGAGGGGCAGCAUUUUAGUUUGCUUGCAAACUGAAGAUGGCGACCGGCGCACGGGUGAGUAACACGUAUCCAACCUGCCGAUAACUCCGGAAUAGCCUUUCGAAAGAAAGAUUAAUACCGGAUAGCAUACGAAUAUCGCAUGAUAUUUUUAUUAAAGAAUUUCGGUUAUCGAUGGGGAUGCGUUCCAUUAGUUUGUUGGCGGGGUAACGGCCCACCAAGACAACGAUGGAUAGGGGUUCUGAGAGGAAGGUCCCCCACAUUGGAACUGAGACACGGUCCAAACUCCUACGGGAGGCAGCAGUGAGGAAUAUUGGUCAAUGGGCGAGAGCCUGAACCAGCCAAGUAGCGUGAAGGAUGAAGGCUCUAUGGGUCGUAAACUUCUUUUAUAUGGGAAUAAAGUUUUCCACGUGUGGAAUUUUGUAUGUACCAUAUGAAUAAGGAUCGGCUAACUCCGUGCCAGCAGCCGCGGUAAUACGGAGGAUCCGAGCGUUAUCCGGAUUUAUUGGGUUUAAAGGGAGCGUAGGUGGAUUGUUAAGUCAGUUGUGAAAGUUUGCGGCUCAACCGUAAAAUUGCAGUUGAAACUGGCAGUCUUGAGUACAGUAGAGGUGGGUGGAAUUCGUGGUGUAGCGGUGAAAUGCUUAGAUAUCACGAAGAACUCCGAUUGCGAAGGCAGCUCACUAGACUGUCACUGACACUGAUGCUCGAAAGUGUGGGUAUCAAACAGGAUUAGAUACCCUGGUAGUCCACACAGUAAACGAUGAAUACUCGCUGUUUGCGAUAUACAGUAAGCGGCCAAGCGAAAGCAUUAAGUAUUCCACCUGGGGAGUACGCCGGCAACGGUGAAACUCAAAGGAAUUGACGGGGGCCCGCACAAGCGGAGGAACAUGUGGUUUAAUUCGAUGAUACGCGAGGAACCUUACCCGGGCUUAAAUUGCAACAGAAUAUAUUGGAAACAGUAUAGCCGUAAGGCUGUUGUGAAGGUGCUGCAUGGUUGUCGUCAGCUCGUGCCGUGAGGUGUCGGCUUAAGUGCCAUAACGAGCGCAACCCUUAUCUUUAGUUACUAACAGGUGAUGCUGAGGACUCUAGAGAGACUGCCGUCGUAAGAUGUGAGGAAGGUGGGGAUGACGUCAAAUCAGCACGGCCCUUACGUCCGGGGCUACACACGUGUUACAAUGGGGGGUACAGAAGGCGGCUACCUGGUGACAGGAUGCUAAUCCCAAAAACCUCUCUCAGUUCGGAUCGAAGUCUGCAACCCGACUUCGUGAAGCUGGAUUCGCUAGUAAUCGCGCAUCAGCCAUGGCGCGGUGAAUACGUUCCCGGGCCUUGUACACACCGCCCGUCAAGCCAUGAAAGCCGGGGGUACCUGAAGUACGUAACCGCAAGGAGCGUCCUAGGGUAAAACUGGUAAUUGGGGCUAAGUCGUA